rnacentral:rRNA from 1 species
AUACGGAAGGUGCAAGCGUUAAUCGGAAUCACUGGGCGUAAAGCGCUCGUAGGUGGCUUUGUAAGUCAGGUGUGAAAGCCCACGGCUCAACCGUGGAAUUGCACUUGAUACUGCAUUGCUUGAAAAGUUCGGGAGAGGGUAGUGGAAUUCCAGGUGUAGGAGUGAAAUCCGUAGAGAUCUGGAGGAACACCAGUGGCGAAGGCGACUACCUGGACCGAUACUGACACUGAGGAGCGAAAGCGUGGGGAGC